UUAAAUUGAAGAGUUUGAUCAUGGCUCAGAUUGAACGCUGGCGGCAGGCCUAACACAUGCAAGUCGAACGGUAACAGGAAGCAGCUUGCUGCUUUGCUGACGAGUGGCGGACGGGUGAGUAAUGUCUGGGAAACUGCCUGAUGGAGGGGGAUAACUACUGGAAACGGUGGCUAAUACCGCAUAA
rnacentral:rRNA from 6 species